rnacentral:rRNA from 1 species
CUCUUCUUGAAUGGAUAAGAGGUAGGAUCUGCUCCAUGCAUUAGUAAAUUGCCGCAGUAUCCUGACUGUGCUAAGGUAGCAAAAUAAUUUGGCUUUUUAUUGGAGUCUGGAAUGAAUGAUUUGACAAGGUCUAUUCUGUCUCACUUUUUUUUUUUGAAUUUAGAUUGUUUGUAAAAAUACAAACAUAAAGGAGAGGGACGAAAAGACCCUAUAGAUCUUUACUUUUUCUAUUUUUUAUUCCUUUCUAGUAAAAAGAAAAUUAAGUUUACUUGGGAUAAGACUAAAAAUGAAUUUUGGUUUAAGAAAAAGAUUGAUUAAUCGAAAAGAGGAUAAAUAAAAAGAUAAGUUACCUUAGGGAUAACAGGAUAAUUUCUUUACUUAGAACUUAUUAGUAAAGGAGUUUAUUACCUCGAUGUUGAAUUAAGUUUUCUUUUGCCUGCAGCAGGGUAAUGAGUUAGUCUGUUCGACUAUUAAAAACUU